rnacentral:rRNA from 1 species
UACAGGGGGUGCAAACGUUGCUCGGAAUCAUUGGGCGUAAAGCGCACGUAGGCGGUCUGUUAUGUCGGAUGUGAAAUCCCGAGGCUCAACCUCGGGUCUGCAUCCGAUACUGCCCGGCUAGAGGUAGGUAGGGGAGAUCGGAAUUCCUGGUGUAGCGGUGAAAUGCGCAGAUAUCAGGAGGAACACCGGUGGCGAAGGCGGAUCUCUGGGCCUUACCUGACGCUCAGGCGCGAAAGCUAGGGGAGCGAACUGG